GAUAAACGCUGGCGGCGUGCAUAACACAUGCAAGUCGAACGAAGUGGCGAACGGGUGAGUAACACGUGAGUAACCUGCCUUACACAAGGGGAUAGCCUUUGGAAACGAAGAAUAAUACACUAUAGUGUAAGAUGGACUUGCGUCUGAUGAGCUAGUUGGUGAGAUAAAGGCCCACCAAGGCAACGAUCAGUAGCAGGCUUGAAAGAGUGGACGACAACAUUGGGGCAUGAACACGACCCAAACCCUACGAGAGGCAGCAGGAGUGAAUUUUGCACAAUGGGGGAAACCCUGAGGCAGCGGCGCCGCGUGAUUUAGAAAGCCUUCAGGUUGUAAAAGUCUUUUUUAUGGGGUGCAGUACCAUAAGAAUAAGGACCGGCUAAAUACGUGCCAGCCGCCGCGGUAAUAC
rnacentral:rRNA from 1 species